rnacentral:misc_RNA from 1 species
CUGAAACUUCAGAUGGUAAUGGGAAAGUGGGUGUUGACUCAGAUGAAAAGCCUCAAAUGGAUCAACAAUCAUCUCCAAGCCAGCAAGAAUAUUUUCAAGGCCAGUUUCCACAUCCCAUGUUCCCUUCUUGGCCUAUUCAUUCUCCACCUGGCACAUUGCCCAUCUUUCAGGGGUAUCCUAUGCAAGGGAUUCCUUACUAUCAGAAUUAUCCAGGAAAUAGCCCAUUUUUUCAGCCACCGUAUCCGUCGGGGGAAGAUACUAG